rnacentral:rRNA from 1 species
GACGAACGCUGGCGGCGUGCUUAACACAUGCAAGUCGAACGAUGAAGCCUUUCGGGGUGGAUUAGUGGCGAACGGGUGAGUAACACGUGGGCAACCUGCCCUGUACUUUGGGAUAAGCCUUGGAAACGAGGUCUAAUACCGGAUAUGAUGAGUCCUCGCAUGGGGGUUUGUUGAAAGUUCCGGCGGUACAGGAUGAGCCCGCGGCCUAUCAGCUUGUUGGUGGGGUAAUGGCCUACCAAGGCGACGACGGGUAGCCGGCCUGAGAGGGCGACCGGCCACACUGGGACUGAGACACGGCCCAGACUCCUACGGGAGGCAGCAGUGGGGAAUAUUGCACAAUGGGCGAAAGCCUGAUGCAGCGACGCCGCGUGAGGGAUGACGGCCU